rnacentral:rRNA from 1 species
AUUGAACGCUGGCGGAAUGCUUUACACAUGCAAGUCGAACGGCAGCACGGACUUCGGUCUGGUGGCGAGUGGCGAACGGGUGAGUAAUAUAUCGGAACGUAUCCAAUAAUGGGGGAUAACUAAUCGAAAGGUUGGCUAAUACCGCAUACGUCCUACGGGAGAAAGCUAGGGACCUUCGGGCCUGGCGUUAAUGGAGCGGCCGAUAUCGGAUUAGCUAGUUGGUGAGGUAAAGGCUCACCAAGGCCACGAUCCGUAGCUGGUCUGAGAGGACGACCAGCCACACUGGAACUGAGACACGGUCCAGACUCCUACGGGAGGCAGCAGUGGGGAAUUUUGGACAAUGGGCGAAAGCCUGAUCCAGCCAUUCCGCGUGAGUGAAGAAGGCCUUCGGGUUGUAAAGCUCUUUCGCAAGAGAAGAAAACUUACCCUCUAACAUAGGGUGAGGUUGACGGUAUCUUGAUAAGAAGCACCGGCUAACUACGUGCCAGCAGCCGCGGUAA